AGUGAACGCUGGCGGUAGGCCUAACACAUGCAAGUCGAACGGCAGCACAGUAAGAGCUUGCUCUUACGGGUGGCGAGUGGCGGACGGGUGAGGAAUACAUCGGAAUCUACUUUUUCGUGGGGGAUAACGUAGGGAAACUUACGCUAAUACCGCAUACGACCUACGGGUGAAAGCAGGGGAUCUUCGGACCUUGCGCGAUUGAAUGAGCCGAUGUCGGAUUAGCUAGUUGGCGGGGUAAAGGCCCACCAAGGCGACGAUCCGUAGCUGGUCUGAGGGGAUGAUCAGCCCCACUGGAACUGAGACACGGUCCAGACUCCUACGGGAGGCAGCAGUGGGGAAUAUUGGACAAUGGGCGCAAGCCUGAUCCAGCCAUACCGCGUGGGUGAAGAAGGCCUUCGGGUUGUAAAGCCCUUUUGUUGGGAAAGAAAAGCAGCAGGUUAAUACCCCGCUGUUCUGACGGUACCCAAAGCAUAAGCACCGGCUAACUUCGUG
rnacentral:rRNA from 1 species